AUUUCGCACUCGAUUCUCUCUCUAUUCUCACCCGAUUCACUCUCAUCUCACGUUUUUUUUAUUUACUAUGUUUUUUCCCUCAUUUUUUUUAUUUAAUACCAUUUGUCUCGUGAUUCUCUCUCAUUGCUCUCGAAAUUAUCUCGCGAAUCUUCUUCGAUUCUAUUUCAUUUCUUUUACGAUGUUCUCUCAAUAUGCGAUCAUUUCUCUCAUUUUAUUUUAUUCAUUUUAUUGAAAGCAAAAGUUUGUAAUAUCGUAGAGCAGUUGAUUUUUGAAUUGAGCACCCCUGGCUGGCUGUCAUCCACGCACUAGAUCAAGCUGUCAAAUUACUUAUUGUUUAUAUCGGCCAAAAAGCGGCACAUAACAAACUGGCGUGGGUUAAUGUAGUCUAGUUCCUCUGAAGAUUUCUUAAAAGUGUCUAAUUAUUCGUUAUCUAUCCCUCGUUAUUCCUUCUCACUGUCGUCGGGGAAUGGAUAUUGCGUGCGCGAAUGAAAAUCUGAUUAAGUAGUCAGUGAUUUGUGUUACCCGUUUCCAGUCGGCUAGCUUUGGUGUAGUGCUCCACAAGUGUUGGCCAAUUUAAGGAACGCGAUCUACAGUGUGUUGAAACGGAAUCGAAUGAUCAGUACCGCAUCCAAGAUGUAAUGAGCCUUGCGGUACAAUCGUGUGUUAUUUAGGAGAGUUAACCUACUUAGUGCCUCAUUGCCUCGAGUAUAUGAACAGUAAUUUCGACUACGUGCGCCUACAUA